CCUACGGGUGGCUGCAGUGGGGAAUAUUGGUCAAUGGGCGCAAGCCUGACCCAGCAACGCCGCGUGAAGGAAGACGGCCUUCGGGUUGUAAACCUCUUUUGACAGGGAAGAGAAGAGGACGGUACCUGCCGAAUAAGCCACGGCUAACUACGUGCCAGCAGCCGCGGUAAUACGUAGGUGGCAAGCGUUAUCCGGAGUUACUGGGUGUAAAGGGCGUGUAGGCGGGUUGGCAAGUCAGAUGUGAAAGUUAUGGGCUCAACCCAUGACCUGCAUUUGAAACUGUCGAUCUUGAGAGCGGGAGAGGCAGACGGAAUUCGUGGUGUAGCGGUGAAAUGCGUAGAUAUGGGGAGGAACACCAGUGGCGAAGGCGGUUUGCUGGACCGCAACUGACGGUGAGGCGCGAAAGCGUGGGGAGCAAACAGGAUUAGAUACCCGAGUAGUC
rnacentral:rRNA from 1 species